ACUUAGCACUUACAACCGUGAAGUUAAUCGUCUCACCCGAACAUCCAGCUGAUAAUGAAGCAAACAUUCAAUACUAUGAUUGCAAAUUAGGAUCAUCCACUACUAUGAGAAGUGAAACAGGAGCGAGGCAUUGCCUGAGGGAGAAGUUCAGUGCCAAUCGAGUGGAGAUCCAAAAGCCCCGGGCUAUGCCCGUUUAAGUACACGUCCUCCCGGUGUUGCCUCUGGCUGGACGACUGCGAACUUAAGCGCCGCGCCGGCGGCUCAACCGGCACCGGGAACUCCCCGCUAAUUGCCCUUUGCAUGCUCAACAACCUAGAAUACUCCACCUACACCACCACCACCGACACCGGGAAAAAGAUCGAAUAUUUGGUGGUGGGGGGAAAUAGGAGAAAUAAAUCAAAAUCGAUCCACUUGGCAAUCGAAAGGGAGCCGACCACCUGAUCCGACGAGUACCGACGCUGGCAGUGGCUUUUGCCCGUUCGACCCAUCUGCCUCCCUCCCAUGGCAGCGCCGCUCAUCUUCCCCCCGGUAGACGACGAAUACGCGAGCGAGAGAGACGCGGCAACGGAGCGGACACUGACCA
rnacentral:lncRNA from 1 species